rnacentral:lncRNA from 1 species
ACGGCGGCCGUCGACGUCGUUGAAGACUUGGACAUUGGGUUGUCUGCGGUGGCCCCUCUUUGAUUUAAUUGUGACUAUUUUAACUCUUUAUUUGGAACUUCAAUUUGUCGUUGCCUUCUCUGCUCUGUCAAAAUGAAUUCAAGAGGUUAGAUUUAGGCCGGUGGGGGGUCAAACUUGCUACUACCCUGCGUUUUAUAUCCUUUUUUCCGUUUCUUUUCUUUCUUUUGAAUCUUUAUUUCCGCGCUUUAUUUCUCUAUUUUUUUUUUCCGAUUCCUUAAAGGCGCACCUUGUGCCUCUUCCUCUCCUGGCUUAACUUGUUCUAUUUUCAUGUUUCCUUGAUUUAAUUGUACAUUAAUUUGAGAAUUUAUUGCUAAUCUUGGUUAUAAGUAGGGAAUGGUGAGGGGGCAUAUUAGUCUUAAGGGGUGAAGCUGUGUUGAGUAGCUCCAAAUCGGGCACGACUUUUGGUGGUGUUUAAUAAUUAAAAAAAAAAAAAAAAGUGGAAUGCAGGGGCAUGGGGAUCAUUAGGUUUCCAUUUCCUAGUUCCGCAGCUUACAAUUUCUCUUCUCUUUUGUCCUUUUCAUGUUCUAUAAAUACUGCUCCCUCCGUCCACCAAUUAAAGCUCCAUUUGAGGAUGGGCACCCCUCCGUCCACCAAUUAAAGCCUCAUUUGAGGAUGGGCACGGAGACUAAGAAAACUAAAAAAGGUGUUGUGGGUGAAAUACAAGGGUAGUGGUUAAGAGAUUGAAUUACUUCUACUAAUCUUUGAUUAGAAAAUUCUUUUAUUUUAUGGAUUUAGUUUUAUUAAAAUUAUUUUUUUGUUAUUUUUCUUCUUUAAAUUAAAUUUCUAUUUUUUUUUUCAUUUUUUUUCUUGUUAUUUAUUUUUAUUAAUCUUUCCUUCUUAAUUUUUCGUUCAUUUUUUUCUGUCAAUUUCUUUUCCUUGUAUGUUUCAAGUAACAGUAUGAAUGAAAGAAUGGAGGCAAAAGAAAUUUGUCAUUCAUUUAAGGAGAUUCUCAUAUCCAGCCAGUCGCAUCGCCGCCUCUCAACCCGGCACUUCCGAUUCCGGCAGGAACCUGUCUGAUUUAGAGAGAUGNUCGACGAAAUCAUGGGGGCGGAUGACGGCGGCCGUCGACGUCGUUGAAGACUUGGACAUUGGGUUGUCUGCGGUGGCCCCUCUUUGAUUUAAUUGUGACUAUUUUAACUCUUUAUUUGGAACUUCAAUUUGUCGUUGCCUUCUCUGCUCUGUCAAAAUGAAUUCAAGAGGUUAGAUUUAGGCCGGUGGGGGGUCAAACUUGCUACUACCCUGCGUUUUAUAUCCUUUUUUCCGUUUCUUUUCUUUCUUUUGAAUCUUUAUUUCC